rnacentral:rRNA from 1 species
GAUGAACGCUAGCGGUGCGCCUAACACAUGCAAGUCGAGCGCCCUCACUUUGUAUUUGAAUCUUUCGAAUAUAAGGUGAGGGAGCGGCGAACGGGUGAGUAACACGUUGGAACCUACCUCAGACUCAGGGAUAGCCCACCGAAAGGUGGAUUAAUACCGGAUAGUCUCGUAAGAGUAAAGCUUUUGUCGGUCUGAGAGGGGCCGUGCGGUCUAUCAGCUUGUUGGUAAGGUAAAAGCUUACCAAGGCUAUGACGGAUAUCUGGUGUGAGAGCAUGACCAGACACAAUGGAACUGAGACACGGUCCAUACUCCUACGGGAGGCAGCAGUGAGGAAUCUUCCGCAAUGGGCGAAAGCCUGACGGAGCGACACCGCGUGGAGGACGAAGGCCUUUUGGUUGUAAACUCCUUUUCUGAGGGAAUAAAUGAUGAAGGUACCUCAGGAAUAAGCACCGGCUAACUACGUG